rnacentral:tRNA from 1 species
GGGGAUUUAGCUCAGUGGUAGAGCGCUUGAUUAGCAAGCGCAAGGCCCUGAGUUCAGUCCCCA